AAGUCGUAACAAGGUUUCCGUAGGUGAACCUGCGGAAGGAUCAUUAACAAGUCUAUGGAGGGACAAAAGUGGCUCUGACUGCUUUGGCCCUCCUUUACUACAAAGCUGGUCUCUCUAGAAGUAUUUCUUUAGAGAUCGCUUGAACAAGUAACCUGGGGUACUUUAGAGUGCAAGUCAGCUCUUCUUCACGCAAGGAGAAGCUCGUCUUCUGCUUUAGAGCCCUUCAAUAAUCCCUAUUUUUAUACCAUUUUACCCCUUUUGAACUAUUAAGACUGAUAUGACAUAGUUUAUGUCACUUAUUAAAUCUUAAAACAACUCUUAACAAUGGAUAUCUAGGUUCUG
rnacentral:misc_RNA from 1 species